ACAUACCUUGAAUUACCUUGUAAUGAGGGAAGCUCGCAAGAGCAAGGAUACAGGUGGUGCAUGGUUGUCGUCAGCUCGUGUCGUGAGAUGUUGGGUUAAGUCCCGCAACGAGCGCAACCCUUGUUGUUAAUUGCCUAACAGGUUAAGCUGAGCACUUUAGCGAGACAGCCUAGGUUAACUAGGAGGAAGGUGGGGAUGACGUCAAAUCAUCAUGCCCCUUACGUUUAGGGCUACACACGUGCUACAAUGGUGAGAACAAAGAGAAGCAAGCUAGCGAUAGUGAGCAAAACUUAUAAAACUCAUCUCAGUUCGGAUUGCAGGCUGAAACUCGCCUGUAUGAAGAUGGAGUUGCUAGUAAUCGCGAAUCAGAAUGUCGCGGUGAAUACGUUCCCGGGUCUUGUACACACCGCCCGUCACACCAUGAGAGUUGGCAACACCCGAAACCUGUGGGCUAACCGAAAGGAGGCAGCAGUCU
rnacentral:rRNA from 1 species